rnacentral:rRNA from 1 species
AUUGAACGCUGGCGGCAGGCCUAACACAUGCAAGUCGAGCGGAUGAAGGCAGCUUGCUCCUGGUUUCAGCGGCGGACGGGUGAGUAAUGCCUAGGAAUCUGCCUGGUAGUGGGGGAUAACGUCCGGAAACGGGCGCUAAUACCGCAUACGUCCUGAGGGAGAAAGUGGGGGAUCUUCGGACCUCACGCUAUCAGAUGAGCCUAGGUCGGAUUAGCUAGUUGGUGGGGUAAAGGCCUACCAAGGCGACGAUCCGUAACUGGUCUGAGAGGAUGAUCAGUCACACUGGAGGGGAGACACGGUCCUGACGCCUACGGGAGGGAGCAGUGGGGAAUAUUGGACAAUGGGCGGAAGCCUGAUCCAGCGAGGCCGCGUGUGUGAAGAAGGUCUUCGGAUUGUAAAGCACUUUAAGGUGGGAGGAAGGGCAUUAGGUUAAUACCUUGCUGUAUUGACGUUACCAACAGAAGAAGCACCGGCUAACUACGUG